rnacentral:rRNA from 1 species
CAGAGGUGCCGAGCGUUAGGCGGAAUCACUGGGCUUAAAGCGUGUGUAGGCGGACUUCUAAGUACCUUGUGAAAUCCCAUGGCUUAACCAUGGAACUGCUGGGUAUACUGGUUGUCUUGAGCCAACUAGGGGCUACCGGAACAAAUGGUGGAGCGGUGAGAUGCGUAGAUAUCAUUUGGAACGCCAAUGGUGAAAACAGGUAGCUGGGGUUGUGCUGACGCUGAGACACGAAAGCCAGGGGAGCGAACGGGAUUAGAUACCCCGGUAGUCCUGGCCGUAAACGAUGUCGACUAGAUCGUGGAACCUCUGACGGUGUCACGGUCGAAGCAAAAGUGCUAAGUCGACCGCCUGGGAAGUACGGUCGCAAGGCUA